rnacentral:rRNA from 1 species
AUGAACGCUGGCGGCGUGCCUAAUACAUGCCAGUCGAGCGAACGGACGAGAAGCUUGCUUCUCUGAUGUUAGCGGCGGACGGGUGAGUAACACGUGGAUAACCUACCUAUAAGACUGGGAUAACUUCGGGAAACCGGAGCUAAUACCGGAUAAUAUUUUGAACCGCAUGGUUCAAAAGUGAAAGACGGUCUUGCUGUCACUUAUAGAUGGAUCCGCGCUGCAUUAGCUAGUUGGUAAGGUAACGGCUUACCAAGGCAACGAUGCAUGGCCGACCUGAGAGGGUGAUCGGCCACACUGGAACUGAGACACGGUCCAGACUCCUACGGGAGGCAGCAGUAGGGAAUCUUCCGCAAUGGGCGAAAGCCUGACGGAGCAACGCCGCGUGAGUGAUGAAGGUCUUCGGAUCGUAAAACCCUGUUAUUAGGGAAGAACAUAUGUGUAAGUAACUGUGCACAUCUUGACGGUACCUAAUCAGAAAGCCACGGCUAACUACGUG